ensembl:lncRNA
AUGUGUAAGACAAUUGUUGCACUGAGGCUUGUGUAUGCCAGGCAAGGCCAAGCUGGCUCAAAGAGCAACCAGCCACCUGUACAAGGGUGUGCCAGGAGCCGGUGGAGCAGCCACCAACUUCACUCGCUGCCCCUCAUGGUACAUCAGUUCUACCCUAGAGGUAGAGCCCCAGUGCCAUCUGCUUUUCCUCAGGCCUCUGCUCCUUCAGCCAUCAGGUGGCAGUCACUCAGUCUGUUGGAAUCUGGCCAUCCCUGCUUCCUUGAGUGGGUGAGGUUGGUCAAGGUACUUAAUUUCUUCUACCCUAGUGGCAAGGCCUCAGUGUCAUCUGCUUUUCCUCGGGCCUCUGUUCCAUCUGACAUCAGGUGGCAGCCACUCAGGCUGUUGGAAUCUGGCCAUCCCUGCUUCCUUGAGUGGGUGAGGUUGGUGGCUGCUCCACCUGCUCCAGGGGCACCCUUGCAGAGGUGGCUAGUUGCUCUUUGAGACAGCUUGGCCUUGCCUGGCAUGCAUAGAAUGUAGGUACCAAAGUGCUGCUCUGAGUGAGCUUGUCCUUCCUGAGGCCAAAUUCUAAGUCUGGCCAGGGCCACAGAAGGCCUAGGCCCCUGGGUGGAAAUCCUGGCUGCUUUCUGCACUUGAAUAUAAAGUCCUCCUCAAGACGGCCUGUGGUCUACCUCUUCACAAUGAAGAAGCCUGCAGUGCCAUCUGAGCCCUGAGGAACUGACUGGAGCCCUAAAGGCAGCGCUCACCCUGCUCCUGAGCCUGCUGCUCAUUUCCUCUAUAUGACUCCAUUUGUAAGACAGUUGUUGCACUGAGGCUUGUGCAUGCGGGGCAAGGCCAAACUGGCUUGCAACCAGCCAACUCUGCAAGGGUGUGCCAGGAGCCAGUGGACCAGCCUCCAACCUCACUCACUGUCGCUCGUGUACCUCAUUUCUUCUACACUAGAGGUAAGGCCUCAGUGCCGUCUGCUUUUCCACAGGCCUCUGCUCCAUCAGCAAUCAGGUGGCAGCCAGUCCGGCUUUUGGGACCUGGCCAUCCCUACUUCCCUGAGUGGGUGAAGUUGUAUGUUGGUGCAACUGCUCCAGGUGCACCGUUGCAGAGGUGGCUGGUUGCUCUUUGAGCCACCAUGGCCUUGCCUUGCAUGAACAUGCCCCAGCUGCUCUGAGUGAUCUUGUCCUGCCUGGGGCCAAAUUUUAAAUCUACCCAGGACCAUAGAAGGCAGGGUCCUCAGGCCUCUGCUCCAUCAGCACCUGCUCCAGGCGCACCCUUGCAGAGGUGGCUGGUUGCUCUUUGAGCCAACUUGGCCUUGCCUGGCAUGCACAGACCGCAGGUACCGAUGUGCUGCUCUGAGUGAGCUUGUCCUGCCUGUGGCCACAUUCAAAGUCUGGCCAGGGCCACAGAAUGCCUAGUCCCUGGAUUGCAAUCCUGGCUGCUUUCUGCACUUGAAUAUAAAGUCCUCCUCAAGACAGCCCGUGGUCUGCCUCUUGGCAAUGAAGAAGCCCGCAGUACCAUCUGAGCCCUGAGGAAUUGACUGGUGUUUUAAAGGCAGCACACACCCUGCUCCUGAGAUUGCUGCUCAUUUCCUCUAUAUGUCUCCAUUUGUAAGACAAUUAUUGCACUGAGGCUUGUGCACGCCGGGCAAGGCCAAGCUGGCUCAAAGAGCAACCAGACACCUCUGCAAGAAUGUGCCAGUAGGCGGUGGACCACGACCAAUCACACUCGCUGCUGGUCA